GCCCCGGUGGCUCAUCGGUCUGGGCGCGCGUGCCGUGGCCGCGGCGGCCUGGGUUCGAUUCCCGCUCGGGUCG